UUUCACUGUAAGGUCUACUACACCUGUUGUAUUCAGCAUUCCACUGUAAGGUCUACUCCACCUGUUGUAUUCAGCAUUCCACUGUAAGGUCUACUCCACCUGUUGUAUUCAGCAUUCCACUGUAAGGUCUACUACACCUGUUGUAUUCAGCAUUUCACUGUAAGGUCUACUACACCUGUUGUAUUCAGCAUUCCACUGUAAGGUCUACUACACCUGUUGUAUUCAGCAUUUCACUGUAAGGUCUACUACACCUGUUGUAUUCAGCAUUUCACUGUGAGGUCUACUACACCUGUUGUAUUCAGCAUUUCACUGUAAGGUCUACUACACCUGUUGUAUUCAGCAUUUCACUGUAAGGUCUACUACACCUGUUGUAUUCAGCAUUCCACUGUAAGGUCUACUCCACCUGUUGUAUUCAGCAUUCCACUGUAAUGUCUACUACACCUGUUGUAUUCAGCAUUUCACUGUAAGGUCUACUACACCUGUUGUAUUCAGCAUUUCACUGUAAGGUCUACUACACCUGUUGUAUUCAGCAUUUCACUGUAAGGUCUACUACACCUGUUGUAUUCAGCAUUUCACUGUAAGGUCUACUACACCUGUUGUAUUCAGCAUUCCACUGUAAGGUCUACUACACCUGUUGUAUUCAGCAUUUCACUGUAAGGUCUACUACACCUGUUGUAUUCAGCAUUCCACUGUAAGGUCUACUACACCUGUUGUAUUCAGCAUUUCACUGUAAGGUCUACUACACCUGUUGUAUUCAGCAUUUCACUGUAAGGUCUACUACACCUGUUGUAUUCAGCAUUUCACUGUAAGGUCUACUACACCUGUUGUAUUCAGCAUUUCACUGUAAGGUCUACUACACCUGUUGUAUUCAGCAUUUCACUGUAAGGUCUACUACACCUGUUGUAUUCAGCAUUUCACUGUAAGGUCUACUCCACCUGUUGUAUUCAGCAUUUCACUGUAAGGUCUACUACACCUGUUGUAUUCAGCAUUUCACUGUAAGGUCUACUACACCUGUUGUAUUCAGCAUUUCACUGUGAGGUCUACUCCACCUGUUGUAUUCAGCAUUUCACUGUGAGGUCUACUACACCUGUUGUAUUCAGCAUUUCACUGUAAGGUCUACUACACCUGUUGUAUUCAGCAUUUCACUGUAAGGUCUACUACACCUGUUGUAUUCAGCAUUUCACUGUGAGGUCUACUACACCUGUUGUAUUCAGCAUUUCACUGUGAGGUCUACUACAUCUGUUGUAUUCAGCAUUUCACUGUGAGGUCUACUACACCUGUUGUAUUCAGCAUUUCACUGUGAGGUCUACUACACCUGUUGUAUUCAGCAUUUCACUGUGAGGUCUACUACAUCUGUUGUAUUCAGCAUUUCACUGUGAGGUCUACUACACCUGUUGUAUUCAGCAUUUCACUGUGAGGUCUACUACACCUGUUAUAUUCAGCAUUUCACUGUAAAGACCUGUAAAGGC